GCCGACGGGUUCUGGUCCAUCAGCGCUGCUCUGACAGCUUAAUGACCGGCUGUCCGCUCAUCACCUCACUCAGGUUCUCAGGAAGGAGGAAGCAGAAAAACAACCGGCACUCUGCUGAUGGAGAACAUUCAGAACCGACCUGGAACCCCGAAGACACAGAGGAAGGUUCUGCUGGUAAAGCUUCCUCUGAGCAGCAGCUGGUAGAAGAACCAAAGAGCCGAAGAGUCACAUUUUCUGUACGUGAUUGAGUUGGCAUGAGGGAAAAGGAAGGUGGUGUCUGUGCAGCUGCAUGCAUGCAUCAGCACUGCAAAAGCAAGACAGAAAGUGACAAAGGAAACUCUGAGAGAGGACAACAGAGGAAUAAAUAAGGAGAAGAAGAGGAUCAUGGGAAAAAUCAGACAAACAGGUGAAGGAAGAACUGAGAGCAGCACAUUCAGCUGGACAGCUUUAUUGGACAGACGGAGUGAGGGAGACGGGAAAUAAAGGAGGAGAGCCAUGCAGCAAACGGCCAAAGUCGGGAAUUGAACCCGGGCCGCUCAGUUGGAGACCAGCCCCUGUAUACAGUUCACCUGCUUAAAUCACUGAGCUAUACAGUCACCAAGCAACCUUGACGUUUUUGUCACAUUUUGGACGACAUUCCAAAGUAUGACAUGUUUUUUAAAAUAUUAUUUUUAUGGCCUUUUUUCAGCUUUAUUGGACAGACGGAGUGAGGGAGACGGGAAAUAAAGGAGGAGAGCCGUGCAGCAAACAGCCGAAGUCGGGAAUUGAACCCGGGCCGCUCAGUUGGAGACCAGCCCCUCUUUAUUGGACAGACGGAGUGAGGGAGACGGGAAAUAAAGGAGGAGAGCCAUGCAGCAAACGGCCAAAGUCGGGAAUUGAACCCGGGCCGCUCAGUUGGAGACCAGCCCCUGUAUACAGUUCACCUGCUUAAAUCACUGAGCUAUACAGUCACCAAGCAACCUUGACGUUUUUGUCACAUUUUGGACGACAUUCCAAAGUAUGACAUGUUUUUUAAAAUAUUAUUUUUAUGGCCUUUUUUCAGCUUUAUUGGACAGACGGAGUGAGGGAGACGGGAAAUAAAGGAGGAGAGCCGUGCAGCAAACAGCCGAAGUCGGGAAUUGAACCCAGGCCGCUCAGUUGGAGACCAGCCCCUGUAUACAGUUCACCUGCUUAAACCACUGAGCUAUACAGUCACCAAGCAACCUUGACGUUUUUGUCACAUUUUGGACGACAUACUAAACUAUGACGUUUUUGUUCAAAUUUUGGACGACAUACUAAACUAUGACGUUUUUGUUCAAAUUUUGGACGACAUACUAAACUAUGAUGUUUUUGUCACAUUUUGCACGACAUACUAAACUAUGAUGUUUUUGUCACAUUUUGGACGACAUACUAAACUAUGACGUUUUUUUCCACAUUUUGGACGACAUUCCAAACUAUGACAUUUUUUAAAAUUUUAUUUUUAUGGUAUUUUUUCAGCUUUGUUGGACAGAUAAAGUGAAAGAGGGAGAAGAGCAGGGGAAAGACAUGCAGCAAACAGCCACAGGUGGGAAUCAGACCUGGGCCGCUGCAUCAGCGACCAGCCCCUGUAUAUGGUUCACCUGCUUAACCCACUGAGCUAUACAGUCACCCCGCAAUCGAGAUGUUUUUGUCACAUUUUGGACGACAUUCCAAAGUAUGACAUUUUUUUAAAAUAUUAUUUUUAUGGCCUUUUCACAGCUUUAUUGGACAGAUGGAGUGAGAGAGACAGGAAAUAAAGGAGAAGAGCAGAGGAAAGACAUGCAGCAAACGGCCACAGGCAGAAAUCAAACCAGGACCACUCAGUCAGAGAACAGUCCCUGUAUGUGGUUCACCUGCUUAAACCACUGAGCUAUACAGUCAUCAAGAAACCAAGCUGUUUUUGUCACAUUUUGGACGACAUACUAAACUAUGACGUUUAUGGUCACAUUUUGGACGACAUCCUAAACUGUGACGUUUUUGGUCACAUUUUGGACAACAUACUAAACUAUGACGUUUAGUAUAGGCUAGGAUAUUGACAUUCACAUGGAACAUUGUAUUCACAUACAUUUAUGUACGAUUUAAAAAUUUAAGUAUUGUAUUGUAUUUUCGUGGAAACAUAAGGCAUAUUUUCAUGAACAAUUUUAUUCCAUUCUUAAUGAAUCAACAGGGAGAGAGGAAAACAGGAAACCCAUGCAGUAAAGGAUCAUGAGCUGGAAUCGACCCUGCUUCUCUGACAGAGCUCUGUUUAUGAAUCACUUUCUUAAGCAGUUGAGCUAUCUGGACACCUUGUUACAACUUGUUGGACGACAUACUAACCGAUGAUGUUUUUGUCAUAUUUUGGACAACAUACUAAACUAUGACGUUUUUACAACAUUUUGGACGACAUACGAAAAUAUGAUGUUUGUUUCACAUUUUGGACGACACACUCGAGUGACUUUUUUUCAUAUUUUGGACGACAUGCUAAACUAUGACGUUUUUGGUCAAAUUUUGGACGACAUACCAAACUAUGACGGUUUUUUUCACAUUUUGGACGACAUACUAAACUAUGACGCUUUUGUGAUUUUUUGGACGACAUACUACGUAAACUAUGACUUUUUUUUCCACAUUUUGGACGACAUACUGAAUGAAGUAUGACGUUUUUGUCAUAUUUUAGACGACAUACUAGACUAUGAUGUUUUUUCCACAUUUUGGACGACAUGCUAAACUAUGACGUUUUUGUCAAAUUUUGGACGACAUACUAAACUGUGAUGUUUUUGGUCAAAUUUUGGACGACAUACUAAACUGUGAUGUUUUUGGUCAAAUUUUGGACGACAUACUAAACUGUGAUGUUUUUGGUCAAAUUUUGGACGACAUACCAAACUAUGACGGUUUUUUUCACAUUUUGGACGACAUACUAAACUAUGACGCUUUUGUGAUUUUUUGGACGACAUACUACGUAAACUAUGACUUUUUUUUCCACAUUUUGGACGACAUACUGAAUGAAGUAUGACGUUUUUGUCAUAUUUUAGACGACAUACUAGACUAUGAUGUUUUUUCCACAUUUUGGAGGACAUACUAAACUAUGACGCUUUUGUGAUUUUUUGGACGACAUACUAAACUAUGACAUUUGUUUCACAUGUUGGACGACAUACUAAACUAUGGCGUUUUUUCACAUCUUGUACGACAUACUAAACUAUGACGUUUUUACCCCAUUUUGGAUGACAUCCUAAAUUAUGACGUUUUCAACCCUGUUCUGGAUCACAAGUUCCUAAUCUUCUCCUCUCUAACAUCACCAUCAGCAACUUAAAGCUCUCCGUCGAUUCCAAUUUAACGAACCUCCAUUGUUCUGUUUCCUACACUCUGGAGUUAUGUCCAGUUUUGUUGUACACAGACUUAACAUUGCAUUUGAAGUUGUAGGAUCCAACACUGCGUUGAAAACAGAAAGGCUAAUCGUGCUGCUCUUGUAAAUUUUCACAAGACCUCCUGUCAGUGGGUACUUAGGCAGGAGGUGCACAGUCUGGACUUGGAGUUGGUUUGCUGAAAGAAGGACAAAGUGCAGUAUGUGUGACUAUCUGAGAGACUUUGACCAGCUGUGAUGGUAGACUAAAGGGUCAGAACAUCUCCAGAACAGCUGGAAUUGGACAAUGUUCCUGGUAUGAGUUGGCCACCAAAAAUUGUCCAAAAAAGGACGACCAGUGACCCAGGGCAGGGUCAUGGACACCCAGGGAUCAUUGCAAAGGUUGAGCCACAGAAGAUCUUUAGAGCAUUCAAAUAGACUAUAAACUGAGAACAGCUGAUGCAGUCUCGUCAGUUUCAAGUCAUGACUGAAACCAAAGAGCUUAGUAAGGACCUCCAGAUUCACAUUUUAGCUGCUCACAAGAAAUUUAAAGCCUAUAAAGUCACAUCAAGUGUUUUCAAGGUCCAGUGUCUACAGUUUGAAGCUUCAUGAAAAAGUCCAUGGAGUUCCACACUGUGACACAUGAAGUCAACGUGGUGAAGAAAUGGUGAAGAGAAAACAAUGAGAAGAUGUUGGAGAGGCCCAGCCAGAGUCCAGACCUGAAUCCAUCCAGAAUCUGUGGAGGAAGUGAAGAGCAGAGUGAUGGAGAGGAAGCCUUCAAAGAGCUGGAGAUGGACACUUUGAGGAACUAAAUCCCAGUGGAGACCUGCAGAAACACUGAUAGACACUUGAACUAAAGGGAAAGAGUAUGAUUAAUAUGGGACAUGUAUAGAAAUGGUUAAAAAAAUGCAUCACUAAUACAAUCUAAUACGUUUUUCUAUCUUUUACUACUUGUUUAUAUCAUUUUCAACUAGAAGAAACCUGGUGAUUGAAUACAACUGACUAUAAAUUAAAAAAUUGGCAUGGAGGAUGAAUACUUUUUAGGCCAAAAGAACUGGCGAUAGACACGAAAAUGAAUUACAUCCCAGUGGAGAUGUGCAGAAACACUGUUAGACACUAGAACUACAGGGAAAGAGUGUGACUAAUAUGGGACGUGGCAUAAAAAUAGUUAAAAAUGCAUCAUUGAUGCAAUCUAACACAAUGUUUUACUGUCUUCUGUCACUACUUUAUAUCAAUUUUAACCAGAAGGAACGUGGCAAUUGAAUAAAAACUGACUGUAUAUUAAAAUUUGGCUGGGGGAUAAAAAAUUUUGGACUUCACAGAUCUGAUGAUGGACACAAAAUUUCUCUAAAUCCUCGCAUAGACCUUCAGAAAACCUGCAGUUUGGUGUAACUACUUUGAGUUUACCUGUACUUUAGCAGUUACAAUCCACCAGUGGGUGAUAUGUGCAGCUUAUUGUGUGAAACAUUGAAAAACAAAACCGAAAGAACCAAACAUACAGUCUCCAGGCUAUGUAUGACGUCACGGUUUUCAAUACUCCUCCAGCUCUCCCCCCUCGUCCUGCUAAUUUAUCUCCACCUCCAGCCGCUACACAACAACUCCAACACAAUGUCUAUGUGUGUUCUGUAUCGGGGGUCUUUGAGCUCAGGAAGAGGCCGGCGUUACACACCAAACACACACACGGGAUGAGAACCUCUGGCGUGGCCUUUCCCACCGCUGCCCUUGCUGAAUCAACACACUCGUACAAACACACUCGUUCACACCGCCAUCAAACGGGCUUUUGUCUUGCUACAAUCGCACACUUAUCUGCACGGGAGCUCAUUACUGCGACCACAACAAACGCCGUCCUGUACGGUCGUGUUCUCCGCUCAACAAUCAGCAAAUAAAAAAAAUCACAUGGGGUGUAAAAAUUUUUUAAAAAAAGGCACAGAAUCAGCGCUGACACUUUCAUUUUACCCUUAAUAUGUUUAAUAAUGAUAAUUCAACCAGCCACCACAGAAUUAGGAAACAUUCAUCCUCGUAAACAAAAUCCUAUGGUGUUAAUUACCUUAUAAAAAUAGUAAACACGAUUUGGUUCACGUCGUAUAUAAAAUUAAAGUUCAGAAAAUAUCACUGCCACUGACAAUUCAAUAUUCUGUUUACAUGAACACAACACAAAUGAGUUAUUAAGCAGAAAAAUAAGAGUAUAUACACAUUCCACAUGUGAUUACCAGGUAACAGGGGGGGAAAAA